GGAGAAAGCAGGGGAUCGCAAGACCUUGCGCUUUUGGAGCGGCCGAUGCCUGAUUAGCUUGUUGGUGAGGUAAAAGCUCACCAAGGCUCCGAUCAGUAGCUGGUCUGAGAGGACGACCAGCCACACUGGGACUGAGACACGGCCCAGACUCCUACGGGAGGCAGCAGUGGGGAAUUUUGGACAAUGGGGGCAACCCUGAUCCAGCCAUGCCGCGUGAGUGAAGAAGGCCUUCGGGUUGUAAAGCUCUUUCAGCCGGAACGAAACGGUCACGGUUAACACCCGUGACUACUGACGGUACCGGAAGAAGAAGCACCGGCUAACUACGUGCCAGCAGCCGCGGUAAUACGUAGGGUGCGAGCGUUAAUCGGAAUUACUGGGCGUAAAGCGUGCGCAGGCGGUUUUGUAAGUCAGAUGUGAAAUCCCCGGGCUUAACCUGGGAACUGCGUUUGAAACUACAAGGCUAG
rnacentral:rRNA from 1 species